rfam:Solanum lycopersicum cultivar Heinz 1706 chromosome 12, whole genome shotgun sequence.
AGGCAGCCCCCUUUUCUAUAAUUGAUUGGAAGGGAGGUGUUAAUCUGCUCGUAAAUUGAAUUUGUUUAUGCUCUUCAGAUUUGCUUAGAUAUAUUAAUAUCUUUGAAGCUGGUCCAGUAAGCUUAAGCACAAU